ACGAAGUCACCCAAGGCGACGUACUGUCCCAUGAGCCAGGAGGCGAGACGAAGGCAUGCAUUCGAUACGUCCGGGACACCCGACUCCACCGGGCUUCCAAGGCUUUACAAGGAGACGCCCAGGUCAUACGCUUCCAGGACGGUGUUUGACUGGCAGGCCUAAAACGAAACCAUGCAAACUGUGACGGGGAAUGAUGAAUCCGGUUGUAAGGAGUGUCAGACCUUCUGUCUCAAGAAAGUAAGGACUACAAAACAUCUAGUCACCGCCCUUCAACAGUUCCCAAUGGAGGCUCUGAGCUUUUGCGCAUGCUGGCUUCGGCGCACUUGCCUGUCCUCAACACUGAACAGCGGAUGGGCGUCGACGAUGUCAUGCUCUUCAGUACCCCAGUACCCAAGUGGCAGCGGGUUUCGGUGGUCCAGCAAGAGGCGGUGUCCGGGGUCCGUGACGCGGGUCACGUUGCAGCCGCGACAGCCGAAGCGGCGGAGGUGGCACUCUCGCUGCGGAUGGGGGCUUCCAUCUUGGAGUUGCGCCGUGCGGCCGCCAUUGGCUGGCCGCGCAGAAGGUCAUCUUCUCUCUCGCCGUCCCGAUCGAGCGCGGCAUAUAAGGGAGCCGGCGGAGCGCCGAGCUGUUUGUUUCGGAGAGCAACUUGCCCAGCUAGCCUUGUCCCUUCGUAAUUACUCUGGUCGCUAGUUGCAAGUCCAGACGCAAGCGAAAUCAGCGCAGCGUCUCGAGCCGUGUGGCCGCCUGCCGUCCGCGUCGUUCUCCCCCUUGAGCCACCUGUUGAUCCUCCUGAGUUGCCGGCCGUUCGCCGCUGACUGAUCCCACGGAGACAACGGAGGUUCGGAUGCGCAGCCAAGCCGUCGUCUUUGCAGUCAUUGACCAGCUGCUGGAGACCAUUCUCACUCGGCGUGGGAGCCGUUUGGGGAACAGUGGGAACGUGCUGGAGCUACAAGUGCUCACACAGUUGCACCACGUUCCUUGAGAAUUGGCCCUUCCUAGAAGCCUAGGAAUAUUUGCCUUCUGUGAAGGCCCCCUUCGAACAACCAUCCUCAGCUGUGCCACAGCGCUCGAAAGCUUCCCCGCCCGGACACCAGAGCAGAGGGAAACAUGCGUCCCGGUGAAACCGUAGCGAUCCCUGCCAGGAAGAUGACCCUGGACACUGACAGCCAGAAAGGCUUCAAGGCCUUCAGCAAGGAUCCGCAGCCGUCGUUCAAGAGCAACUACAGCAACGACCAGAAAAACCAGCAGACGAAGACUGACCAGCGGAACCCCUGGGGCCCCACAUUCAGGGACCGCCAGCACUUUGUCGACAUGCAUUUCAACUAGCACCGACAAAGCCGCUCUUGGCUCAAGUACCGCUGCGGCUGCGAUGCUGCCUGAUUCGCCACGGGACGCUUUCGCCAAAUACAAGAUGAAUCUGUGUGGGGAGGCUUCGACACUGCUGCGCACCUGGAGAUGGUUGCUUCUUACUUAGUUUACUUCCUAUUUACAAAUUUACACAAGUCCUUUUGGAAUCUCUGUUUUUU